rnacentral:rRNA from 1 species
AGUGAACGCUGGCGGUAGGCCUAACACAUGCAAGUCGAACGGCAGCACAGUAAGAGCUUGCUCUUACGGGUGGCGAGUGGCGGACGGGUGAGGAAUACAUCGGAAUCUACUUUUUCGUCGGGGAUAACGUAGGGAAACUUACGCUAAUACCGCAUACGACCUACGGGUGAAAGCAGGGGAUCUUCGGACCUUGCGCGAUUGAAUGAGCCGAUGUCGGAUUAGCUAGUUGGCUGGGUAAAGGCCCACCAAGGCGACGAUCCGUAGCUGGUCUGAGAGGAUGAUCAGCCACACUGGAACUGAGACACGGUCCAGACUCCUACGGGAGGCAGCAGUGGGGAAUAUUGGACAAUGGGCGCAAGCCGGAUCCAGCCAUACCGCGUGGGUGAAGAAGGCCUUCGGGUUGUAAAGCCCUUUUGUUGGGAAAGAAAAGCAGCAGGUUAAUACCCCGCUGUUCUGACGGUACCCAAAGAAUAAGCACCGGCUAACUUCGUG